rnacentral:rRNA from 1 species
UACGAAGGGGGCUAGCGUUGUUCGGAAUUACUGGGCGUAAAGCGCGCGUAGGCGGCUUUGUAAGUUAGAGGUGAAAGCCCAGGGCUCAACCCUGGAAUUGCCUUUAAGACUGCAUCGCUUGAACAUCGGAGAGGUAAGUGGAAUUCCGAGUGUAGAGGUGAAAUUCGUAGAUAUCGGGAGGAACACCAGUGGCGAAGGCGACUUCCUGGCCUGUUCUUGACGCUGAGGCGCGAAAGCUAGGGUAGCAAACGGG